rnacentral:rRNA from 1 species
UACGUAGGGCGCAAGCGUUGUCCGGAAUUAUUGGGCGUAAAGAGCUCGUAGGCGGCUUGUCACGUCGGGUGUGAAAGCCCGGGGCUUAACCCCGGGUCUGCAUUCGAUACGGGGCUAGCUAGAGUGUGGUAGGGGAGAUCGGAAUUCCUGGUGUAGCGGUGAAAUGCGCAGAUAUCAGGAGGAACACCGAUGGCGAAGGCAGGUCUCUGGGCCACUACUGACGCUGAGAAGCGAAAGCAUGGGGAGCGAACAGG